rnacentral:rRNA from 1 species
GCUUGUCUCAAAGAUUAAGCCAUGCAUGUCUAAGUUCAAAUGGCCUAUAAAGGUGAAACCGCGAACGGCUCAUUACAACAGCUAUUAUAUACUUGAUCUUGAUAUCCUACGUGGAUAACUGUGGUAAUUCUAGAGCUAAUACAUGCACCAAAGCUCCGAAUUUUUGACGAGCGCAUCUAUUAGAUUAAAACCAAUCGGGUUUCGGCCCGUUUGUUGGUGACUCUGAAUAACUAUGGCUGAUCGCAUGGUCUAGAACCGGCGACGUGUCUAUCAAGUGUCUGCCUUAUCAACUGUCGAUGGUAGUUUAUGUGCCUACCAUGGUUGUAACGGGUAACGGAGAAUAAGGGUUCGACUCCGGAGAGGGAGCCUGAGAAACGGCUACCACAUCCAAGGAAGGCAGCAGGCGCGCAAAUUACCCACUCUCGGCAUGAGGAGGUAGUGACGAAAAAUAACGAGACCGUUCUCUAUGAGGCCGGUUAUCGGAAUGGGUACAAUUUAAACCCGUUAACGAGGAUCUAUGAGAGGGCAAGUCUGGUGCCAGCAGCCGCGGUAAUUCCAGCUCUCAAAGUGUAUAUCGUCAUUGCUGCGGUUAAAAAGCUCGUAGUUGGAUCUGCGCCUCAGGACCUGGUCCGUCCACUGGGUGAGAACUGGGCUCCUGGGCUAGUUCUGCUGGUUUUCCCUGCGUUGCCUUCAUCGGUAGCGUAGGGUGGCUAGCGAGUUUACUUUGAAAAAAUUAGAGUGCUUCACGCGGGCUUAUGUCUGAAUACUCGUGCAUGGAAUAAUAGAAUAGGAUCUCGGCUCUAUUUUGUUGGUUUUCUGAUCUGAGAUAAUGGUUAAGAGGGACGGACGGGGGCAUUCGUAUCGCUGCGUGAGAGGUGAAAUUCUUGGACCGUAGCGAGACGUCCGACUGCGAAAGCAUUUGCCAAGAAUGUCUUCAUUAAUCAAGAACGAAAGUCAGAGGUUCGAAGGCGAUCAGAUACCGCCCUAGUUCUGACCGUAAACGAUACCAACUAGCGUUCCGUCGGCGGUAAAUACGCCUUGACGGGCAGCUUCCCGGAAACGAAAGUCUUUCGGUUCCGGGGGAAGUAUGGUUGCAAAGCUGAAACUUAAAGAAAUUGACGGAAGGGCACCACCAGGAGUGGAGCCUGCGGCUUAAUUUGACUCAACACGGGAAAACUCACCUGGCCCGGACACCGUGAGGAUUGACAGAUUGAUAGCUCUUUCUUGAUUCGGUGGUUGGUGGUGCAUGGCCGUUCUUAGUUGGUGGAGUGAUUUGUCUGGUUUAUUCCGAUAACGAGCGAGACUCUAGCCUACUAAAUAGUUAUCGGAUAAUUAUGUCCGGAAGACUUCUUAGAGGGACAAGCGGUGUUCAGCCGCAUGAAGUUGAGCAAUAACAGGUCUGUGAUGCCC